rnacentral:rRNA from 1 species
GCCAGCAGCCGCGGUAAUACGAAGGGGGCUAGCGUUGUUCGGAUUUACUGGGCGUAAAGGGCGCGUAGGCGGACUGAUAAGUCAGGGGUGAAAUCCCAAGGCUCAACCUUGGAACUGCCUUUGAUACUGUUUGUCUUGAGUUCGAGAGAGGUAAGUGGAACUGCGAGUGUAGAGGUGAAAUUCGUAGAUAUUCGCAAGAACACCAGUGGCGAAGGCGGCUUACUGGCUCGAAACUGACGCUGAGGCGCGAAAGCGUGGGGAGCAAACAGGAUUAGAUACCCCGGUAGUCCCUGUCUCUUAUA